GGUUGAUGAUCAUGGGUUAGCAGAACUUACUAACAUUAGUAUCACUAAAGUUGGUAUACAGCCCCCACCCACUGCUAAAUUUGGCUGGCUUUUA
ensembl:misc_RNA Y_RNA Y RNA